CUUAAAUUUGAAAUCUGGCCUCUUCGGGGUCCGAGUUGUAAUUUGUAGAGGGUGUUUCGGGCGCGAUGCCGGUCUAAGUUCCUUGGAACAGGACGUCGCAGAGGGUGAGAAUCCCGUACGCGACCGGCGAUCAAGCCCGUGUGAAGCCCCUUCGACGAGUCGAGUUGUUUGGGAAUGCAGCUCAAAAUGGGUGGUAAAUUUCAUCUAAAGCUAAAUAUUGGCCAGAGACCGAUAGCGGACAAGUAGAGUGAUCGAAAGAUGAAAAGCACUUUGGAAAGAGAGUCAAACAGUACGUGAAAUUGUUGAAAGGGAAGCGCUUGCAAUCAGACCGGUCCGGAGGCGAUCAGCCGCUGCUCGUUCAGCGGUGCACUCGCCUGCGAUCCGGCCAGCAUCGGUUUGGGCGGUGGGAUAAAAGUCCCGGGAAUGUAGCUUCUCUCGGGGAGUCUUAUAGCCCGGGUCGCAAUGCCGCCCGCCCGGACCGAGGACCGCGCUUCGGCUAGGAUGCUGG
rnacentral:rRNA from 1 species